rnacentral:rRNA from 1 species
AGUGAACGCUGGCGGUAGGCCUAACACAUGCAAGUCGAACGGCAGCACAGUAAGAGCUUGCUCUUACGGGUGGCGAGUGGCGGGCGGGUGAGGAAUACAUCGGAAUCUACUUUUUCGUGGGUGAUAACGUAGGGACACUUACGCUAAUAGCGCAUACGACCUACGGGUGAAAGCAGGGGAUCUUCGGACCUUGCGCGAUUGAAUGAGCCGAUGUCGGAUUAGCUAGUUGGCGGGGUAAAGGCCCACCAAGGCGACGAUCCGUAGCUGGUCUGAGAGGAUGAUCAGCCACACUGGAACUGAGACACGGGCCAGACUCCUACGGGAGGCAGCAGUGGGGAAUAUUGGACAAUGGGCGCAAGCCUGAUCCAGCCAUACCGCGUGGGUGAAGAAGGCCUUCGGGUUGUAAAGCCCUUUUGUUGGGAAAGAAAAGCAGCAGGUUAAUACCCCGCUGUUCUGACGGUACCCAAAGAAUAAGCACCGGCUAACUUCGUG